rfam:Jatropha curcas cultivar GZQX0401 scaffold684_64, whole genome shotgun sequence.
GUCUCUGUAGCCCAGUGGUAGGGCAUUUGCCUUUUAAGCAAGCGGUCGUGAGUUCGAACCUCACCAGAGGCA